UAUACAAACCAUCCAAACACAUUAAAAACUCCAAUUUCCUUCCAUAUAUUGAGAAGCGUCCACAUAAAUUAAGAGGCGAGCUUUGCAUAACAGAAGAGCAUGACGUGUCCUGGGAGAGAGGGAGAGGGAGAGGGAGAGGGGGAGGGGGAGGGAGAGAGGGGGGAGAAUAAGGGUUAGGGGACAAAGAGAGAAGAGAGAGAGAGAGAGAGAGAGAGAGAGAGAGAGAGAGAGAGAGAGAGAGAGAGAGAGAGAGAGAGAGAGAGAGAGAGAGAGAGAGAGGAGGUUGACAAAGAAGGGUGUGGAUGUCGAAGGUUGGUAAUUUGGUAACGUGGGAGGAGGAGGAGGAAAAGGAGGAGGAGGAGGAGGAGGAGGAGGAGGAGGAGGAGGGUUAAAAAAUGUGAUCAGAAAAUGGAAGCGCAGAAAGAGAGAGAGAGAGAGAGAGAGAGAGAGAGAGAGAGAGAGAGAGAGAGAGAGAGAGAGAGAGAGAGAGAGAGAGAGAGAGAGAGAGAGAGAGAGAGAGAAGUACUCAGGUUUAACAUUUCGUUCUUAUCUCUGCGAAGCUUUGCUGUGUGUAUCCUAUGUAUCUGAAAAAGCUUCAAUCAGUAUCACCCUGACGCCAGCCUCAGCGAAGGUCUGGUUUGGUUCCUUUACAGCGCUGUGUAGUUUGCUGUACUGAAUCGUUUCUACGUGCACUGAGUAGCAUAUGCUGAAAACAUUAAAUCAUUCAGUAAAAACA